rnacentral:rRNA from 1 species
GAUGAACGCUGGCGGCGUGCCUAAUACAUGCAAGUCGAGCGAACAGAUGAGGAGCUUGCUCCUCUGACGUUAGCGGCGGACGGGUGAGUAACACGUGGAUAACCUACCUAUAAGACUGGGAUAACUUCGGGAAACCGGAGCUAAUACCGGAUAAUAUAUUGAACCGCAUGGUUCAAUAGUGAAAGACGGUUUUGCUGUCACUUAUAGAUGGAUCCGCGCCGCAUUAGCUAGUUGGUAAGGUAACGGCUUACCAAGGCAACGAUGCGUAGCCGACCUGAGAGGGUGAUCGGCCACACUAGAACUGAGACACGGUCCAGACUCCUACGGGAGGCAGCAGUAGGGAAUCUUCCGCAAUGGGCGAAAGCCUGACGGAGCAACGCCGCGUGAGUGAUGAAGGUCUUCGGAUCGUAAAACUCUGUUAUUAGGGAAGAACAAAUGUGUAAGUAACUAUGCACGUCUUGACGGUACCUAAUCAGAAGGCCACGGCUAACUACGUG